rnacentral:rRNA from 1 species
GACGAACGCUGGCGGCGUGGAUUAGGCAUGCAAGUCGAACGGUAUCAUCCUUUCGGGGGUGAGAGAGUGGCGAACUGGUGAGUAACACGUAGGUUAUCUACCCUCAAGACGGGGGACAACCCAGGGAAACUUGGGCUAAUACCGGAUGUGAGCAACUUUUAGUUGUUUGAAAGGUGGCGUAAGCUGUCGCUUGGGGAUGAGCCUGCGUCCUAUUAGUUAGUUGGUGAGGUAACGGCUCACCUAGGCAAUGAUAGGUAGGCGGCCUUAACGGGUGGUCGCCCACACUGGGAUUGAGAUACGGCCCAGACUCCUACGGGAGGCAGCAGUCGAGAAUAGUCUACAAUGGUCGGAAGACUGAUAGUGCGACGCCGCGUGAACGAUGAAUCCCUUCGGGUGUAAAGUUCUUUUAUAUGUGAGCAGUGCUUCUUAUAUUAACAGUAUGGGGAGAGAGAUAUUAGCAUAUGAAUAAGCAACGGCUAACUCCGUGCCAGCAGCCGCGGU